ACAAAGAAAAGAAAAAUAUGAUUUUCAAACAGAUUGUCAAUCUGAUUAUGAUCAACGGUUGACCGACAACAAGAUACAGAGGGAGUGUGAGACUAUCUGUUUAUAUCAUUAUGUUAGAAAACAAGUCCAUUACGUCACUUCGAUAAUCAAAAAUGUACAAACUGUCAAAUUAGAUGGCAUAAUGCUGAUUAUCACACUAUAUAAAAUUGAGGAAAUUGAAAAAUGGUCAGCCUUUUUUAUUUGUAAAUAAAAAGACAAACGAACAGAGUUUCGCAAGGAAAUAAAACAUUGCAGUCUGAAUCUAUUAGCCUAGACUGGGAAGUGAACUACCUUACUAGAGGACAGUUUAAAGUGUACAAUUAAACAAUGAUGCGUCGUUUAUAAAAGUAAAGGAAAAUAGUUGACGUUUAAGAAAAGAUGACUAAAAUGUUUCAAACUAUGUAUAUUGAUGCUUCAUUUAAUUUGUGGUUAGUCUAUAUAUAAUGAUUUAAUAUCCCUGUUACUUAUAUUGACAGACGCGAAAUUUCAAUAAUGAGUAAGGCACAGAUAUAAAAUAAAAGAAAUAGUAAUGCAGUCUCAGAUGCUUAAUGUAAAUAAAAAAAGUUUUUUUUUGAAGAUUUGCGUUAGUUCGUUCAAAUUACUCCUAUUUUUUUCGACGCAGAUAUAUAGCAAUCUGCAGUACCAAAAACAUCAGUUCCAACAAAUGUUUUGUCUCAAUAAGUGCGAAUUUCCUAUAUUAUAGAACAUGAUGCAAAAUUAUAAAAAUCCAUCAGUGUUCCACAACAACCUCAAAUACAUUAACCUUUUUGAUUCAUAUGCAGUAUAUAUGCAGUCUCCUUUAAUGUCAAACUUAGAAUGGAUCUUUCUUGUCGCACUAAUGUAGGUAAAUCUAUUCAAAUUUUUAAAUUUUUGAUACAUUCAACCGAUCGUAUCGCUUCGUUGUCAGGUUGUUCUUCAAUCAACGGAAAACAAAUACAACAUUAGCUAUAGCCGUCCGCCUUUUUAUUUCAAUACACACCAGCAGACGACGUAUGUCAUAUCAAAACAGACAAAAACGUAUA